AAGCUGCGAUACGUAGUGUGAAUUGCAGAAUCCGUGAAUCAUCGAAUUCUUGAACGCAAAUGGCGCUUCCCGGCUUGCCGGGAAGCAUGUCUGUUUCAGUGUCAUUUUCCUAAACUCACACCCUCUAUGGGGAUGUGGAGCUGAGGGUCACGCUUCCACGAAGCGGGUCCCUUGAAGGGCAGUGACGUGGGCCCGAGGCCUUUGGUGGUUCCGCUAGCCGCUGUGGUGGUAGAGAUCGUUGCAUUUCAACAACGCAGAGGUGGAAACGACCUGGGGCAGCGACGCUCGUGGCGAAAUAUCCAUCAAUAUAUGACCUGAAAUCAGGCAAGAUGACCCGCUGGACUUAA
rnacentral:misc_RNA from 1 species